rnacentral:rRNA from 1 species
AGCGAACGCUGGCGGCAGGCCUAACACAUGCGAGUCGAACGAACUCUUCGGAGUUAGUGGCGGACGGGUGAGUAACACGUGGGAACGUGCCUUUUGGUUCGGAAUAACUCAGGGAAACUUGUGCUAAUACCGAAUGUGCCCUUCGGGGGAAAGAUUUAUCGCCAUUAGAGCGGCCCGCGUCUGAUUAGCUAGUUGGUGAGGUAACGGCUCACCAAGGCGACGAUCAGUAGCUGGUCUGAGAGGAUGACCAGCCACACUGGGACUGAGACACGGCCCAGACUCCUAUGGGAGGCAGCAGUGGGGAAUCUUGCGCAAUGGGCGAAAGCCUGACGCAGCCAUGCCGCGUGAAUGAUGAAGGUCUUAGGAUUGUAAAAUUCUUUCACCGGGGACGAUAAUGACGGUACCCGGAGAAGAAGCCCCGGCUAACUUCGUG